AUAUUUCUCAGUUGAGUGCUUGAUAAUUUAUUGAUUGGAGGGAGAGGGGGACGUCUCUUAUUAACUUUUAACUCCCAGUUUAUAAUAUUAAGAAAGGUGAACGAAUGUGUAACCCCAGUUCAAUGGAUACAGACUGCAAAACUUUGCUAGUCUUCACGUCAUUCCAGAUGUAUUCCAUAAGUCAUAGCACGAAUCGCGUUAUUUACUUAUUUUAAUGUGCACAUAAUUUUAGUGAUUACUGACACCAAAACACCAUACAAUAGAUAGGUUGAAAAUGGCCAUUUGUUCAACAUCAAGAUGCGUACCUAACUCAAGUCAACCUUAAAAUUUGCAUAUGUCUGCAUUUAAUAUAUAUAUAUAUAUAUGUGUGUGUGUGUGUGUGUAACCACCUCCCUAGGAGUUAAUGAAAUUAGAUAUGGAUGUUAUUCCAUAGGUGACACUCUGAACCCAUACCUUGUAACUUCUUAAUUACUCCAUCCAUUUACCAUCCUCACAGCCCACCUCCCUCCGAUCUCCUUCUUGGUCUACACAGUGGUCGUUUUCCAGGAUUUACCACCACCAUUCUGUAUGUACCCAUGCGAGCAUGCCCAACCCAUCGGAACUUUUUAGAUUUUGCUAUCCUCAUUAUGCUAGGUGACCUGUACAAUUCAUGCAGCUCAUUUUGUAAUAUUCUAGUCACCACUUAUUUAAUCAGUCACAGGUCCAGAUGUCUUCCUGAGCACCAUGUUUUCAAAUACUUGUAAUCUACAUUCUUCCUUCAAGGUGCUGUAGUGCCUGGGAAUAAGCAAUACAUGAACCACCCCUUUUUGCCUGGAUUCAGAUGUCAUGGUGGACUGAUGAUUGAAGGUGAUAGAGGAACACCUAUGGAGGGUCAUUUCAAUGCAACAGAGAGGUUGGUACAACAGGUUACCCAUCUUUCUGCUUGUGUACAACCCCUAAGACCAAGGGCACACCAGUUAGUUUGGAAUUCAGGAGAUCACUACAUCCUAUGACCUGUUGUUUGGGGCUCCCCCUGAUGAAGUCUAUGAAUCAACUGCAUGAUAUACAUUACUGUCUUACAUAUGAAGGUGACAAGUAACAUGAUGAAGGCCUGCUACAACUGCCUGGAUAAUUCCAUGGAUUUUGAGGAAGAUCAAAUCAGGUUGUACUGCCCAAACCAGAGCAAAGUUGCCACAGCUUCAGCCAUCAUGGGAAGAUCCAUAAAAGAUGUUUACCUAGGUUAUUGAUGUGGUCUAUGGGAUCCAACAUCCUAGGACAAAGAUGAUGACACACCUGGACAGACUGGCACCAUUCAUAGGGGCUACUUAAGGAGGAAGAAGUAUAGCAAGUAUUUGCUUGGCUAUGUGAUUAUCCCACCUGCAGCCUCUUGUAGCCAGUUUGACAUGACAUAAACCAAGACCUAUGAGUGCAUAUUAAUUUUUUUUAUUUAUUUAUAUAUACUUAUGUUAAUUAGAAAUACCUAAACAAACAGCUGAAGUGUUUACAUUACAGUUACAUUAUCAAAAACAUAAUAUGGGCCUUGGCUUGUUCAACUUCACCUAAAUGUUUUAAUGAUGUGUUUUGGUGUGUAUUUUUGUAUGCUAUGCAAUGAAGGAGAAGGAUGAAUAAAACAAUAUAAAAGAAAACCACAGAAUAAAAAAUAUAUAUUUCCACCAACACUUUGAAUAUAAAAUAAAAAUAAUACAAAAUGUGAACUGUAUAAUCUUAGGGAACUUCCAUGUAAUCCAAAUAAAACUAUAAAUAUUCAUUAA